GUCUGGUGGUGCAUUGCUGUAGUCCUGACUUACAGGGAGACUGAGACUGGGGGAUCACUUGAGUCCAGAAGUUCUGGGCUAUGUGUGCUAGGCUGACGGUGUCUGCACUAAGUAGACAUCAAACUCACAGGAGCAUGGGACCAACCCAAGUUUCUUAAGGAGAGGUGAACUGGUGCAGGGCGAAAACAGAGCAGGUCAAAACUCCCAAGCUGAUCAGUAGUGGAAUCACACAUGUGAAUAGCCCCAGCCUUUCAGCCUGGGCAACACAGUGAGACUUUGUCUCUU
ensembl:misc_RNA Metazoa_SRP Metazoan signal recognition particle RNA